UACGUAGGUGGCAAGCGUUGUCCGGAUUUACUGGGCGUAAAGGGCGUGCAGGCGGUCUGUUAAGUGCAGGGUGAAAGCUCCCGGCUCAACUGGGAGAGGUCCUUGCAUACUGGCGGACUUGAGGGGGGUAGAGGAAAGUGGAAUUCCCGGUGUAGUGGUGAUAUGCGUAGAUAUCGGGAGGAACACCAGUGGCGAAGGCGGCAUACUGGCCCAUUACUGACGCUGGAGGCUCGAAAGCGUGGGGAGCAAACAGGG
rnacentral:rRNA from 1 species